GAUGAACGCUGGCGGCGUGCCUAAUACAUGCAAGUCGAGCGAACAGACGAGGAGCUUGCUCCUCUGACGUUAGCGGCGGACGGGUGAGUAACACGUGGAUAACCUACCUAUAAGACUGGGAUAACUUCGGGAAACCGGAGCUAAUACCGGAUAAUAUAUUGAACCGCAUGGUUCAAUAGUGAAAGACGGUUUUGCUGUCACUUAUAGAUGGAUCCGCGCCGCAUUAGCUAGUUGGUAAGGUAACGGCUUACCAAGGCAACGAUGCGUAGCCGACCUGAGAGGGUGAUCGGCCACACUGGAACUGAGACACGGUCCAGACUCCUACGGGAGGCAGCAGUAGGGAAUCUGCCGCAACGGGCGAAAGCCUGACGGAGCAACGCCGCGUGAGUGAUGAAGGUCUUCGGAUCGUAAAACUCUGUUAUUAGGGAAGAACAAAUGUGUAAGUAACUAUGCACGUCUUGACGGUACCUAAUCAGAAAGCCACGGCUAACUACGUG
rnacentral:rRNA from 1 species